GUUUUUAUAGUUAAACUAUAACGGUAAUUUUUCAAGUUACAGGUCCUGGUUAGAUUCCUGGUAAAAAUU
rnacentral:tRNA from 1 species